CUCCUCUUAAAAAAAAAAAAAAAAGGCUGAGAAUAAACUUCCUGUGGAUCGAAUAGCCGCCCGAGUUUCAGAGGCUCUGACACUUGACAAAAUUAUAAUAAUCUGAAAAAAUGCUUUGAAAAAAACAAUAACAAAAACAAAGAAAAAAAAGAAACCUUCCCCACUCGUCCGAAGGCUCCCCUCGAACACCACCCAAAGGGAAGGGAAAUCUUUUUCUUUUGAAUGGACACCAAGCAAAGCUCAGUCGCUCCUACCCAAGUCCUCCUGGCUGCUUAGUGUCAAGGCCAAGAGCGAGCGGAGCUCUCUUGCCUUUUAGAGCAGAGCUGCGCUCUCCUUUAAUUAGGGAUCCUGACACUGGCUUCUCUGCCCUCUCCCCCGGCACGCGAGAGGUGGCGGUGGGGCUCUUUUUUUUCUCUCUCCCUCUUUCCUUUCCUGUCUUUCUCUUUCCUGGUUGCAACUGCAGCUCCCCCUCCCUGCCUCGCCCAAGUCCCUGUCUCAGUGGGUCUGGGUCUCGGUCUGUCUGUCUGUCUGUCUGUCUGUCUGUCUGUCUGUCUCUCUCUCUCUCUCUCUCUCUCUCUCCCUAGCUCUCUCCCGAUGGUGCGCUCCGAGCCCCAGAGCUCUGCUUGCCUGGGAUGAGUCAGUGCAAUGGCAUUAGUUCAACUCCACACUCUUUAUUAUCCAGCCCCUUGUACCAUGUGGAUCUUUCACUCACGUCAACCCCCAGCUCACCAAACCCCACCUUGCAGGGAGGAGCGGGCGGGUGAGAGGAGGGGAGGGGAGGAAAGAAAGGGAGGAGGAGGAGGAGAGGAAAGGGGAGGGAGGAAGAGAGAGGGGAAGAAGAGACUUUUUUCUUUCUAUCCCCUCCUCAGCUAAAGGGCACUUGACACCAGUCGGACACUCUGGAGUGAGGAAAGAAGGAAGGAGGUGGCGGGGGGCAUAGAGACUGAGGAAGGGGGUUAUAAGGGGGAGGUGGCAGGCCCGGAGCUCGAGCUUGUCUUUCCUCCCCCCUGGAGUGGAACGCACCGGAGUGGAUUUCUGGCACUUCUUCCCCCACCCCCACCCCUUCCCCCCGUACUUGCUUUGGUCUGUUCCAUUGGCGCACUUUGCCAAAGAUGGUCAUUUGCGUUGCAGGACUGACAAAGGACACUUAGGGAACGUUGUGAGGCGCGGCCGAAAGAUCUGUCUGGUGCCUGGCUGCCUGCUGUGUUCAGGGCCACUGAGAGGUGGAGGUCCAAAGACCAAAACAUUUUGCAGCCCUGGGUGGGGCCGGCGACUGGUUCACUCGGGCGCUCCCAGUGUGCUGUUCUUGGCCCCGGCGGAACGCAGUAGAACCUGGGUGCCGGGUUUAGUGAUGCCAGCUGCUUGCAGCUGGAUUGACUGCUUCCUAGAAUCCUCAAAGAUGGAAUGAAUGAUUCUAAUGACAUCCCUGUUGCUUCAAUGCAGUACAAUUACAACGCAUCUGAUACGUGCUAAUAAUACGUCAUAAGCAAAUCCCAAACUAUAAUUGAUGGGGGGGAGGCGAGAGGGAGAGGGUGUGAGAGUAAAAGGAAGGGUGUAGACUAGGUCAUGUCCUCGGCUCUUUUCUCCAAACAGCAAGACAUUGGGAGCCUGGGCUUUUGGGCCAAAAUGCUCCCUGAUUCCCUGGGCCUGAAAAUCUGUGGUUCGGUGGAAUGCGAACAUUUGUAGUCGCAUCUGUAGUCAUUCGAAUCCCAGAUCUGCCGAUGAUUGGCUGUGUGGCCUUGGACAUGUCACUUCACUUUUCUGAGUCUCCGUUUCCCAAUUUAAGGUCCCUUUCAGUCCCUAAUCAAAUGAGAUAUUUGUAAAGGGCUCAGCUCGGUGCCUGGCACCUAAGGCGCUCUUUAAAUGAUUCCUUAAUUUAUGGUUGUCUUUUCGUGACAAGAUUUCUUUAUUUGUGCAAGGUGUGUGAUGGGGGGGAGGAGAGGGGAGGGGAGGGGAAGGGAAAGUGUCUUCAUAGAGCUCGGGCCUUUGGACUCUGUCCGGAGCAAUCUCUUGGACGCCAGGUCGGCAGCAUUUAAGCCUUUCCCCAGCCGCUGAAACCUAGGAAUGCGGCCCAGUGCUCCCUCACGGCUGUUGUUUACAUUUCUAACGCACAUUUAGUCCCAACCCAGGCCAGCUUGGGGCGGGCCUGGGCCGUGCCUCUGCCCCUGACCCAGCCAGCUCUGAGACAGUGCUUCUCGUCUCCUCCUACCCAGGCUAGAGCACGCUUGGAAGGAGGCAAGCCAGGUCUCCGAGCUUGCAGGGGGAGGAGGAGAGAUGUCAGCGGCAGUGGAAACAAAGGUUUAGGGGUUUGCUUGUGUUUUGUUUCUUGCUUGUGUUUGGUUUGGCUUUUUGGCCUCCCCGGCUUAUUUAUUUAUGUAACUUUCCCAGAAGGAUGAGUAAAUGCAGAU
ensembl:lncRNA